rnacentral:lncRNA from 1 species
AUUGACCCAAUGUAUUAAGAACACAAAACUUUCUUUUCCCUUUCCAACAUAAGAUUUGGACUUCUAUACGUAAAGGUUCUGCAUAAGAACAUGAAAAUCUGGAGGAGUUGCUACAACUUUGUUAGUUUUUCCUUAAGCAUAGCAGGUCAUCAAGACAGAAUUUCUAUAUGUUGUCGCUAUCAUACCAUGAAAACAGGGAAGAACCAAACGUUGUUUGAAACAAAAUGAUAAACAUUAGACUCUGACUUCCUUCCCUUUCUCAUAUAAACCCAUGAAACAUCACACCAUAAAGCCCAUGUAAACAUCAUUCUCUUUCUCACAGCAAGCAUCCUACCACUAAACCACAGCCUAGGAAUAGAUUCUAGGAAUAGCACCAAAUAGAUUCGGACUGUAAACAGGCACUAACAUACCUAAAAUGCAAAUAAACAGCAAAAAGGAAACAGCUUCGGUCUGUAAAAAUGCAAGUAAAAUGCAAGGAAACAGCAAAACUAAAAUUUACAGAAACCCAACAAACUCCCUCACCAACAACAGACAUUACAUCCCAACGUGAAUGCAUAACAACGGAAAGAGCUAAGAAAAUUUUACUAAAAGAAAGGGGAGAUGCACAAACAGGUCAAUAACCCUCAUUCCCGUACAUUCACCAGUGAAAGUUAAAGAAACAGGAGAAAGGAAGCAUUACAGUGCUUUUCCGGCGAUGAUUGACGGCGAUGAUGAUGGAUUUCGGUGAGAUGGUGGCAGCUUCUUGUUUUCUCCUUUCCACAGCCGAAGCCCUUCCUUCUUCUUCUUUUCCCUUGGUUCCCUUUUUCCUUUUCUCAAAAACCCUUUCCCCGAGUUUUCUUCUCCCCUUUCCCGUAACCUUUUCCUUUUGUUUUCUUUUUUUUUGUUUUCAAUUUUUUCUAGUUUCCUCCCUCACAUAGCCCUUCCCGAAGCUCUCUCUUUUUCUUGCUUUCUUUUCUCUCCUCUAGUCCUUUCUCCCUUUCUGGGUUUUUUUUUU